CCUACGGGCGGCAGCAGUGGGGAAUAUUGGGCAAUGGGCGAAAGCCUGACCCAGCAACGCCGCGUGAAGGAAGGAGGCUUUCGGGUUGUAAACUUCUUUUGUCAGGGAAGAGCAGAAGACGGUACCUGUCGAAUGAGCCACGGCUAACUACGUGCCAGCAGCCGCGGUAAUACGUAGGUGGCAAGCGUAGUCCGGAUUUAUUGGGUUUAAAGGGAGCGUAGGCCGGCGUUUAAGUCAGCUGUGAAAGUCCGCGGCUCAACCGUGGAAUUGCAGUUGAAACUGGAGGCCUUGAGUGCACAUAGGGAUGCCGGAAUGCAUGGUGUAGCGGUGAAAUGCUUAGAUAUCACGAAGAACUCCGAUCGCGAAGGCAAGUGUCCGGGGUGCAACUGACGCUGAGGCUCGAAAGUGCGGGUAUCAAACAGGAUUAGAUACCCCGGUAGUC
rnacentral:rRNA from 1 species